UCGAGCGAGCGGAACUAACAGAUUUACUUCGGUAGUGACGUUAGGAAAGCGAGCGGCGGAUGGGUGAGUAACACGUGGGGAACCUGCCCCAUAGUCUGGGAUACCACUUGGAAACAGGUGCUAAUACCGGAUAAGAAAGCAGAUCGCAUGAUCAGCUUUUAAAAGGCGGCGUAAGCUGUCGCUAUGGGAUGGCUCCGCGGUGCAUUAGCUAGUUGGUAAGGUAAAGGCUUACCAAGGCGAUGAUGCAUAGCCGAGUUGAGAGACUGAUCGGCCACAUUGGGACUGAGACACGGCCCAAACUCCUACGGGAGGCAGCAGUAGGGAAUCUUCCACAAUGGACGCAAGUCUGAUGAAGCAACGCCGCGUGAGUGAAGAAGGUUUUCGGAUCGUAAAGCUCUGUUGUUGGUGAAGAAGGAUAGAGGUAGUAACUGGCCUUUAUUUGACGGUAAUCAACCAGAAAGUCACGGCUAACUACGUGCCAGCAGCCGCGGUAAUACGUAGGUGGCAAGCGUUGUCCGGAUUUAUUGGGCGUAAAGCGAGCGCAGGCGGAAGAAUAAGUCUGAUGUGAAAGCCCUCGGCUUAACCGAGGAACUGCAUCGGAAACUGUUUUUCUUGAGUGCAGAAGAGGAGAGUGGAACUCCAUGUGUAGCGGUGGAAUGCGUAGAUAUAUGGAAGAACACCAGUGGCGAAGGCGGCUCUCUGGUCUGCAACUGACGCUGAGGCUCGAAAGCAUGGGUAGUGAACAGGAUUAGAUACCCUGGUAGUCCAUGCCGUANACGAUGAGUGCUAAGUGUUGGGAGGUUUCCGCCUCUCAGUGCUGCAGCUAACGCAUU
rnacentral:rRNA from 1 species